rnacentral:rRNA from 1 species
AUUGAACGCUGGCGGCAGGCCUAACACAUGCAAGUCGAGCGAGCGGCGGACGGGUGUGUAAAGUCUGGGAGACUCCCUCCUGGCGGGGGAUAACACCUGGAAACGGUAGCCUAUACCCCACACCAUCAGCUGUGCCCAGAUGGGAUUAGCUAGUAGGUGGGGUAACGGGCCACCUAGGCGACGAUACCUAGCUGGACUGAGAGGAUGACCAGCUGCACUAGACCGAGAACACGGUCCAGAGUCGUACGGGAGGCAGCAGUGGGGAAUAUUGCAGAAGGUGCGCAAGCCUGAUGCAGACAUGCGGCGUGGGUGAAGAAGGCCUUCGGGUUGUAAAGCACUUUCAGCGGGGAGGCGUUACCCGGAGAAGAAGGACAGAGUAACUCCGUGCCAGCAGCCGCGGUAAUUC